rnacentral:lncRNA from 1 species
CUUGUAAUCUAUUUAGUUGUACACACCUGCCACCAUGACUCUACAACUUGAUGAAUAACUAGCUAUGUAUUCGUCAUCGUUAAACCUCCCAUAGUUUCUAAGUGUGUUGGGCAGUGUUGUCAUCCAAAUUGAAUUCUGCUGACUAUUGGCUCUUCGUUGAUGUGGGCACAUGCUAUGUAUGGCAUGAUCUUUGUCCUUGGAGACAAUGACUUUUAAUGGUGUCUAUCAUCCUGGGAUUUAGGAGCAUCGUCUUUAACCUCUCAAAAUCUUUCCCUGCUUAUUCAAUGUUUGACAUAUUCUAAAUUCUAUAAGACAUUAUCACAUUGGUUCUCUAUAUAAAUGCUCUCCAAACCAAAUUCUGGUUCAAAGAAAGCAACCCACUCCACUUUUAAGCUCAGAGGACACAAGCAGCAACUCAUGAAUGAAGCUGAGUUGAUAUUCACAUGCAUCUCUCUUUCCAAAGAACAGCCUGGGAAAUGUUAAACCAAGCCAAAGUUGAAAAGUGACAUUGAACUUUUGGAUUUCUAACGGCCAAACCCAAAGGAAUAAGUGCCUUUCUUAAAGUCUAAGUACCUGGUGAUUUUUUUGGACUUGGCUGAUUUGAAGCACACAGACAAUAGAAUAACGGGUGAAUUUAUUAUGUUGAAGGAAGACGUUCAAAAACGCUCAGUUUAGCAGCUGGGAAAAUUAAGAGUUACUUAAACUUGGUUAAAUGUCUACAACUGAUAAAAUCCUGCUGUAAUAUAUGUUAGAAUUUCUAUUAAGCAUAUUUCAUAAUUCUUUUGCAACAGAAUCUGGAAUUUUUGUAACCUUCCCCUUUUCACUGCAUUUUAAAGACGAAAUAGAGAAAUAGCCAACCUAUGUUACUUAAUAGAACUGGGAUUAGCUUACAAAACUCCUUUUUUUGUUGUUGUUCAUUUUUUUUGUUUUGUUUAUCUUUUUAGAGCCACACCCACAGCAUAUGGAAGUUGUGGUAGCUACACCAUAGUCUACACCACAGCCACAGCAGCACCAGAUCCGAGUGUUAUCCUCAACCUAAGCUCCAGCUCACCACAACACCAGAUCCUUGACCCACUGAGCGAGGCCAGGGAACAAACCCGAGUCUUCAUGGAUACUAGUCUGGUUCUUAACCCCCUGAGCCACAGUGGGAACUCUCAAUGCUCCAUUUCUUUAAGGAACAAAAUUCUGAAGCGACGACGGCUAAAUGUUAAUAUCUGACAGAACUGGGUGGCCGGGUAAUCAUGAUGUUAUUCUGUUCUUUUCUCUUGGUGUGAAAUAUUUCAUACUUUUAAAAUGAGGUGGGAAAUACCUAUGUUGUCCAAAAUUACUGGAGAACCCAAUAAUGUGAAGCAUUUCUUGUGCUGAUUCUUAGUUACCCAAGUUCUCUGCUUGUCCCAUGAGCACUUAGGUCAGAACUAUUUCUUCAGCAUUCAGAGGAAGAAACAAAAAAUAGCUAAGAGAAACCAAGGGAUUCUGGAGUAAGGACAGGUGCAAGUUCAAGUCCGAGUUAAAAUGACUGGAGUGUCAAAGGUGAGACUGCCUCCAAAUACUGAAUGGCAUAAUAGGCAUUCAUUUAGGACUGAUUUGAUUAAUUGGUUGCUUGGUUAACAAGAGCGAGAGCUGAGCUUCUUGGGAAAGAUGAUGGAUGUCACCUUCCAUUCAUCACGGAUCAUGGCAGUGUUGGCCCUAAUUCAGGAGACCUUUGUAGACAUCAAGAACAAUGCCAGUUUAAUGGGGGACCAAUUACACUCUCAGGGGUCCAUGCAUGUAUAAGGUGACUGAUCCGGGGUUAUGGGUACUGUUAAUAGCCUCAGUGUGGAGCAAAGUUAAUAAAUCCAGUACUAGGAGGAACUACAGAUCCUAAGGACAAAAGCAAAAAUAUUCCCAAGGAAAUGGACAUCCAAUCUCCCUCAUUUUGCAGCAUUUCUAUUGCCUCGGAGGUGACUAGAUGGUGUGGACUUGGCUGAUGGGAGCAUGCACCAAACAAGAAAGGGAAUGUGUGGUGGUCCCAGUCCAGCUCUUUAAUUCUGCCUUGACCUUCAGUUGGGUACAGCAGCAUUUAUUAGGCACUAACAUUUAAUGAGCACCAACAGUGAGACACUACACUGUCUUAUCUCUCUUGCCUCCUCAAUAUGUUAUCUCUCUAUCAAUUCUCAGUCUUUCUCUCUCUUUCUCUCUCACACACACACACCUGACAUUGCCAGCAAUGUGUUCUGCCUGCAAGAAACCCAGGUUCAUGGAGUGGAUAGGCAAUGAGCUCCUGCUGCACAGCCCAGAGAACUAUAUCUAGUCACUAGUGAUGGAACACGAUGGGGGAUGAUGUGAGAAAAAAAAAAUGUUAUGGGUCACUGGUCACUUUGCUGUACAGCAGAAACUGAUAGAAUGCUGUAAAUCAAUUAUAAUUGAAAAAUUUUAGAAAAAAGGGUCCCAUGUUCAAAGUCAAUGAGGCAUUGCUCUAAGCAACUGUAGGGAGCAGAAUGAACAAAGAAAGGCCAACCUCAACUCUAAGGAAAGACUUGGCUGAAAACAAUCAUCUGGGCUCUUGGCAGUGCUCCUUGCUUCAAAGCUGUCGUAGGAUCCCUUAGCGGUGCUAACUCAAAACAAAGUCCCUGCCUGUCACUACCAUCAGCCAACCUUUCUCAGCAGCUACACACAUAGCCUGGACCCACUUUUCCAGGUGCCAUGGUUCAGCUCACCCUCAUUGUCCGUGCCUGACACCUCCUUCUCUCUUUCCAGCAUCAUCUCCUGCUGCCCUUGAAGCUCUGUCUCAAAUGGGCAAGUCUAGGCUCAUCUUGGACCCCCUCUUUCUCACCUGUGUGUUGGUUCACGUUCUCCUGGAACUGUCCCUGUGUCUACUCCACACACCAAAUCCUCCGUUCCUCACGUCUCUUCGGCGACCCCUCUAGGAAGCCUCCCUGGACCUAUCAGCUGAAAGAAGGAGCCUCAGGGCACUGACAACCUAGCCUCUCACUGGGUAGUUACCACAUACAUUUCUCUGCAGGGCUGGUUACCUGUCUCCCUGAACCAGACUGAAAUCUCAGUCUAAAACCCUGGCCUGCCCUGGCCUGGAGCAGCAGCGUGGGCCAUGCCAGACUCUUGAACAUCUGAGAAACGCAUCUCCUGUUGACCAUUGCUGUGGUGAGACAAGAACUGAAGAGACGAAGGUCCGGCAAUUCAAAGAAAUGGGGCCAAUCCGAGGGCCUGAAAGAUGUUAUGACUUGGGACCACAGGAGCCCAUUCAACCUAGAGAAUUUGCCUUUAGCUUGGUCUCAACCAGUAGGAAGAUUCUAGAGACAAGAGCACUGGUGAUACCUUCACCAAAGCUUCUUGGGGGGAGUGUAAUUCCAGUGCACCUUCUGGGAGGCAGAGGCAUCCACGUCACAGGGAGCAAAUGGGUGUGUUUGCCUGUGUGUGCAAGCGCAUGUGUCUCUUGUUUGCAGGAAUGGCUCCUACGUGGCAGUGGAGUAUUUACCUUCCCUGGGCAGCCGCAGCCCUGGUUGGAGCCUGGACUCCACCCCAGGACAGAGACUCCACCUUCAGGUCCUCAGGGGAUCCUGAAGAUUGCAGCUGGAAAGGACUUAGCAGGAUGCCUGAGCUCCCCAUGGCACCAGUGGAGAAGUAGGGCCUGGAGGUGGUGCUGAGCGUGGACCAAGCCCUGGCUGAGCAAGAACUGCAGCUCCAACCUGCGUUGGGGUGGGGCACACAUGCCCGCCGGGAGCCCUCUUUGUCACCUAUAAAAUACCACCCAUGACAGGGAGUGGGAGCCGUGAGGCUCGCCCUCUCAUUAAGUGGCCCUCCCAGGCUUGGCAGCACAUAGUGUCUUUCCAAACCUUGCCGCUGGGGCGGGCAGUGGCAUUUCUCCCAGAGAAGAAAGUUAGAGGUGGUUUCAAUAAGAGCAAUGAGGGAACAGCAGGAGACAGGGCUGCACAGAGGAGAGAGGGUAAGAGCCAAAGGGAAACUGAGGUCAGCCUUGGACCCACCAUGGCCAAGGCCAAGUUGGGCAAUCUCUGUGGGGGAGGAGAGCCAGACCAGACAAGCUCUGGCAUUUCCCUCUGCACACCCCAGCCUGCUGAGUCCUUUGGGUUACCUGGAAUUGUCAGGGGAGGGGAUGCUGGAGAGGCAGAGCGGGAGGUGGAGCAAGUCCCAGACACACAGGGUGAGGGUCAGGCCCCCCACCCCCGAGGGAUUCCAGCUUUCCUGAGGAUGUUACCGUGACUGCCCCUGGGAGGCCAAUAUUGGGCCAGACCUCAGGAUAGGACACAUCCUUCAGGACUUCUGGUCAACCUUUGGUCUGAACUUGCCUAACUAAGACCAGGCUAUCUUGUGCCUCAGCCAGCCUAAUCCUCCUGAAAAAUACUUUCAUCUUGCCCCUCCCUGGGUCAGAUCGAUCUCCGGGCUGGGGAUUGCCUCUUGCUUCGAGUCUCAACAGCUCUGCCCCUGUCUAGGCGCCCCCACCCAGCCCUGCCUCCUUCCACAUCCUCCCACCCCUCCCCUCCCCACACGCCUAUGUUCCAAACAAAGCAUCCUCCUCACUCUUGCCUGCUCAUUGCUCACUCCCUGGCCUCUUCCCUCGCCUCUUCCCCAGGAAAUCCUAUCUUCUUCAUCUGCCUAAAAAUUAUCUGCUCUCCACCCAAAGGUGGCUGAGGCUUCCUUUUCCCAUGAAUCCCCAUGGUCUCGCCCUUCUCAAAAUGUAACUGAGGCAGAAUAAUCACUCAGGUUGUCAGUGUAGGAGCAUGGGCUUCCAUGCAUUCUUUGAUACGACUGUUGAUUAACAUUUGUGGAGUUCCCAUCGUGGUGCAGUGGAAACGAAUCCAACUAGGAACCAUGAGGUCGCGGGUUCGAUCCCUGGCCUCGCUCAGUGGGUUAAGGAUCCGGAGUUGCCAUGAGCUGUGAUGUAGGUCACAGACAUGGCUGGGAUCUGGCAUUGCUGUGGCUGUGGUGUAGGCUGGCAGCUAUAGCUCUGAUUGGACCCCUAGCCUGGGAACCUCCAUAUGCCAUGGAUGCAGCCCUAAA